rnacentral:rRNA from 1 species
GAUGAACGCUAGCGGCAGGCCUAAUACAUGCAAGUCGAACGGUGUCUUCGGACAUAGUGGCGCACGGGUGCGUAACACGUAUGCAACCUACCUUACAUUGGGGGAUAGCCUUUCGAAAGGGAGAUUAAUACCGCAUAAGACAGUAGCUGGGCAUCCAGCAGCUGUUAAAGAUUUAUCGAUGUAAGCUGGGCAUGCGUCCAAUUAGCUAGUUGGUGAGGUAACGGCUCACCAAGGCAAUGAUUGGUAGGGGAACUGAGAGGUCAAUCCCCCACACUGGCACUGAGAUACGGGCCAGACUCCUACGGGAGGCAGCAGUAGGGAAUAUUGGGCAAUGGACGCGAGUCUGACCCAGCCAUGCCGCGUGCAGGAUGAAGGCGUUAUGCGUUGUAAACUGCUUUUAUACAGGAAGAAACGACUCUUGCGAGAGGCAUUGACGGCACUGUAUGAAUAAGCACCGGCUAACUCCGUGCCAGCAGCCGCCGUAACAC